rnacentral:tRNA from 2 species
CGCUCUCUAGCUCAGUCGGCAGAGCGCGCGGCCCAUAACCGCGAUGUCGCAGGUUCGAACCCUGCGGGAGCGACAA